GCUUCCUGCGUAAAACCCAAAACCCCGCCGCGGUCGCCCCUCGCCGCUGGCCGCUCCUCCGAUUCUUCACCCGUAUCAACCUCUCCCCGUCGCUGCCAUCGCCGGCUUGGGCUCGGAUACCUCCGACGUCAAUGGCGGCCCGCGGCAACUUCGGCAACAUGCACGACGUCGCCCUGAAGCCGCGGCUGCUCUCGACGCUCCUGAGGGAGCACGUCCCGGACGAUUCGCGUCCCUUCUCGGACCCCUCGGAGCUCGCGAGCGUGAUCGCCACGCUCAGGGUCCACAAGCUGCUGUCCGAGUCGUUCGAGGAGUCCACGGACGAGAAGCUGGUCGAGAGCUGGAAGAGGGCGGUGGAUGCUUGGGUCGACCGGCUGCUGUUUCUGGUCUCCAGCGACGUGCCAGACAAAUGUUGGGCAGGAGUCUGUUUGCUGGGCAUAACUUGCCAAGACUGCAGCUCUCACCGUUUCUUGGCAUCUUAUUCUUCUUGGUUUCAGAAACUUCAUGUGCACGUUCAGGCACCAGGAGUUUCCAAGUUUGUGAGAGUGGCAUCUAUUGCCUCGCUUUCGGACUUGUUUACAAGGUUAGGUCAGUUUCCCAACGUGAAGAAAGAUGGUAUUAGUUUUUCUGGGAAGCUAAUUCAACCAUUUUUGAAGCUUUUAAAUGAAGACGGAUCGGAGGCUCAAUGGGAUGGAGCAGCUAACAUGUUGUGCAGCAUUAUAUGUUACUUUCCCUCUGCCAUCCAUCGCCAUUAUGACAGUGUUGAGACAACUAUUGCUUCGAAGAUAAUGUCAGGGAAGUGCAGUACUUGCUUGUUAAAGAAGCUUACUCACUGCUUAGCAAUUCUUCCCCAAGCAAAAGGAGAUGAGGAGACCUGGUCUUUACUGAUGCAGAAGAUCCUUCUCUUAAUUGAUGGCCAUCUGAAUGAUGCCUUUCAAUGCCUAGAGGAAGAAACCAAAAGUACCAAAGUUGUCAACUUAUUGGUUCCACCGGGAAAAGAUCCACCAACACCCUUAGGAUUUUGCAAGACUAUUGACAAAGCAGCUGUUGAGGCCACAAAAAGACUGAAGAGAUUGCUAACAUCCAGUGUGUCUGCUUUUAUGCUUUGCGGUUGUGAGAUGCUUACAAAUCCUUAUCCUGUUCAGGUGAAUAUUCCUGUUAAAGCAGUGUUAGCCCUUAUCGAAAGAGUGCUAAUGGUGGAUGGCUCUGUCUCUCAAAGCUUAUUGCCCUUUGUCACGGCCACACAACAAGAAUCUCUCUGUUCAGAGCUUCCAAUGUUUCACUCAGAUGCUUUGGAUCUGCUAAUUGCAUUGACAAAAGGCAUGCGCAGUCAAAUGUUGCCUCAUGCUGCAUAUAUUGUCCGACUUAUUAUGGGAUAUUUCAAAAACUGCUCAUUGCCAGAGUUAAGGGUAAAGAUCUACUCAAUCAUAAGAACUUUGCUGAUGUCCAUGGGCGUAGGUAUAGCAAAAUUCCUGACACAGGAAGUAAUCAACAAUGUUUUCAUUGAUUUGAAUCCUGAUCAUGAAAAUGGCCUUGCUUUUCCCAUCACACUGUCGAGGGCCAAUGAAGUGUCAUUCCCAAAUAAGAAAAAAAGGAAGCAUGCUUCUGCAGCUAGAUCUUUAGAGGAUAAGCAUGAAAUAGGCUUUGGAGAAGUACCCAAGAAUCAUCUGGUGGUGCCUGCCAGUGUUAAGAUAGCUGCACUGGAGGCAUUGGAGGUUCUUCUUACUGUGGGUGGCGCUCUUAGGUCCGACUCUUGGAGGAAAAAUGUUGAUGCACUCUUGAUUUCAGUAGCAACAAAUUCAGUUCAUGAUGGAUGGAACAUUGAGGAAAAUAGCAUCUGUAUGCCGAAUGAGCAAAUAUCUAUGAUGGAGAAAUUAAAACUUGCUGCCUUGAGGGCACUAUUGGCAUCACUUCUUUCUCAAUCUCAUGUACGGCCUGCAAAUAUAGCCAGAAGUCUUGAUCUCUUUCAAAGAGGAAGACAAGAAACAGGGACAAAGGUGGCUGAAUUUUGUGCACAUGCUCUUUUAGCUUUGGAAGUACUUAUUCAUCCUCGGGCGCUACCUCUGGAAGAUUACUCGCCCGCAACUACCGACUCCUUUGGGGGAUUUUCCCACAGAUUCGCGGAAAAUGUGCACUCUGGUGGCCAGCCUGUAGUUGCUUUUUCACAAAGGACCGAGCUUACUCUGCCUGAUUCGUAUGAUGAUGAGCUCCACAGCAAGUGGCUUCAAAAUCAGGAAAAACCCGAGACUCCAUUAGAUGACCAGGUUAAGAAAGUUAAGUACAGCAAAGAGAGCGGUGACUCGUCCCAAGCGAUUAGCACGGAAAAGGAACAUGACGACUCAUUAGAUAAAAGCACUACCGAGAAAAGCAGGGCAUCGCCACUCGAAGUAGAUGCGAAUGACAUGGAAAUGGAAGAGAGGAAUCCUAGUAUUGUGGAAUCACCAAAGCAUGAAGAGUCGACUAGGAAAGUUCAAGAACAUCCGCAACAGGAACCUGUACUGAUUCCUUGUAUAGCGACUACUUCUAAAGGUGUUGAAAGAGAUUCCAGAGCAGAUCCACUGAGCAGUGGUACUGUAGAUCAUGAAAAUAGAGAAAUCGGAUUAGAAGGGAAUGUCGUUGUGACUCGAGGUGAUGGCAUUUCUGCUUCAGGUGAAAAGGAUAUGCUGGGGACUUCGGAUUCUGGAAAGGGCAAGGAGAUAAUUGUAAAUCCGGACAACGAAUCAUCUAUGGACCUUUUCCCCGAUAUUAUUGAUGUAGAACCGGAUUCGGAUGAGGAGUAACUAUAUGUCACAUGAGGCAUAUUUUUCAGUGCAUAAAAGGCAGAAAAAAGGCAGAAUAGAAACCUGAGAGUCCAAUCUUUUAUCAACUUUGGAUCCCAUCCUAUUGUGGUGAAUGUGCAUUUGAUGGACACUUUGGCUAGGAAAGCGAACUGGAUUCUUCUCAUUAACAGGAUUAUUCAGAGAUUGAUUUCUCGUCGUUCAUGAACUUUGGCAUCUGCUGAGCAGGUUCACAACAAAAGUUGCUGCAGUGUCCGAAGGCCAGCAUCAUAUUUUCCUUUUUGGGUGUAAUGGAAGGUGAAAGGACAUCACAGAUUACAACUCUAGGCCUCAUAACGCCCACUUUGUCUCCUGAACGCGUUAGUUCUGAACACCCACAGGAAGACUCAAAUGUAUAACGAAGUCCGGCCCCUGGGAAAAACCUGAAUUCGCUUGCCAGUUGACGCACAUGUUU